UAGCGGUGCCGCGGCGCGUCCCUCAGCUGAGGGAGCUUGCUCGGAGCUAGGAACUGCCGAAGGUCCGGAUCAGCUGGCAAGAAACACCUGCCUGUAGAUGCUUUCCUCUGGAAAAAACAUUCUGGGAACCCGGGCUUGAGGAAUCACGCUUGUGCCUCCAUCACUUCAUGCAGACCUAAUCCUGAGGUGGGAUUGUCCUUGGAGGAGCACGGCACCCGCCCUGCCUCUCAGAGCUGUGGUUCCCAGCUCUCUGUGCCAGCUCAGUAAGGCAGGAUGCCCACCCGCGCAGUGUACGUGUUCUCCAGUCUCAGCUAGACAAGGAAAAACGCAUCUCUUACCCGCUGCUUGUCCUGCUAACAGCAUGGGCAGGGAGCUCCUGCUCUGCGUGCUCCAGAGAUGCACACUAAUAUCCAAACAAGCUGGGGUUUCACAAUUAGUAGUUUCAGCACAAGAGGAAUCCCACAGACUUCAGCAGAAGCAGCACGGCACAGACAGCGCGGUGUAACGCUGUACAGCCCUCGGACAAGCACCACGGCAAGGGCAUUUGGCAAGCACCGCUGUAGCAUUUGGCACUGGAACAGAAAACAGAAACCUGCCAGCGCUUUGAAGGGAGCACCUCCCUCCCCUCCUUGCCACUGGAUCCUUUCAGUUAUUCUUCCUUAUCUCAUCAGGAUAGGUGCCAGAACUGAAAAGAUUCACUUUGUGGGGAGGAUGGAGCGGGGAAAGGAUUAUUUUAUGCUUGUUUUGUUCUUCUGCGCUUUCUUUAAGCUUCCCUGGCCACUGCCAGAGACAGGAGCCUGGGCUUGUCCAACCUUUCAUCUGAGUCAGUACAGGGAGCCUGAUGUUCACUUCUCAGCUGGCACGACAGGAAAACAACAACGACAAAAAAAAAAAUCCACAUUUGUACUCUUCUGCAGUCGCUGUCACUAAAAUCCCCAGCUGUUGUCAGCGAGAGCUAAUAUUAAUACCAGGAAAGGCUGAAAUGACUGCAGCAGAGCAUAUUUGUGAGGCUCUAUUUGAGGCACAUCCUGCAUUCCUCAAGUGUCGGCAGGAGCGGGUGCAAAAUGCCUGCACAUCCUGGCUCCCCCUGCCCGGGGGCUCCGCACUGCAUUGCUGUCCUUCCCCCCCCACGGUAUUCGCACAGGACAGCCUGGCAAUCACCUGAUUUUGGGGAAAGCUACCGGAAAGUUGCCUAUGUGCAACCCUUCAGGUAACGCCGUUACUCACAUAUUUCCACCU